rnacentral:rRNA from 1 species
UACGAAGGGGGCGAGCGUUGUUCGGAUUUACUGGGCGUACAGGGCGCGUAGGCGGUUGGGUAAGCCCUCCGUGAAAUCUCCGGGCCUAACCCGGAAAGUGCGGAGGGGACUGCUCGGCUAGAGGAUGGGAGAGGAGCGCGGAAUUCCCGGUGUAGCGGUGAAAUGCGUAGAGAUCGGGAGGAAGGCCGGUGGCGAAGGCGGCGCUCUGGAACAUUUCUGACGCUGAGGCUCGAAAGCGUGGGGAGCAAACAGG